GGGAAAGUUUCCCCCGCGGCCGCCGGCGGGAGUUGGCGCGGGGUCCGGCCGCUGCAGCUGAAAGAGUUUCUCCGGAAGCCACCAUCAGAAAGAGACCUCGAGAGAAUCUUGGCACCCCGAAAGGAAAAGAUACCAUUUGAAAGAGGACAAGCUGGGCCAGUGAAAGAAAUAUACAGCAGCCCCUCUGACCAAGAGA